GAUGAACGCUGGCGGCGUGCCUAAUACAUGCAAGUCGAGCGAACAGACGAGGAGCUUGCUCCUCUGACGUUAGCGGCGGACGGGUGAGUAACACGUGGAUAACCUACCUAUAAGACUGGGAUAACUUCGGGAAGCCGGAGCUAAUACCGGAUAAUAUAUUGAACCGCAUGGUUCAAUAGUGAAAGACGGUUUUGCUGUCACUUAUAGAUGGAUCCGCGCCGCAUUAGCUAGUUGGUAAGGUAACGGCUUACCAAGGCAACGAUGCGUAGCCGACCUGAGAGGGUGAGCGGCCACACUGGAACUGAGACACGGUCCAGACUCCUACGGGAGGCAGCAGUAGGGAAUCUUCCGCAAUGGGCGAAAGCCUGACGGAGCAACGCCGCGUGAGUGAUGAAGGGCUUCGGAUCGUAAAACUCUGUUAUUAGGGAAGAACAAAUGUGUAAGUAACUAUGCACGUCUUGACGGUACCUAAUCAGAAAGCCACGGCUAACUACGUG
rnacentral:rRNA from 1 species